CCUACGGGAGGCAGCAGCAGGGAAUAUUGUGCAAUAAGCGAAAGCUUGACACAGCGACACCGCGUGUGGGAUGACGGUUCUAGGAUUGUAAACCACUUUCAGGAGGGAAGAAAAUGACGGUACCUCCACAAGAAGACCCGGCCAACUAUGUGCCAGCAGCCGCGGUAAUACAUAGGGGUCAAGCGUUGUCCGGAUUUAUUGGGCGUAAAGAGCUCGUAGGCGGUUCAACAAGUCGGUCGUAAAAGUUUAGGGCUCAACCCUAAAAUGUCGAUCGAUACUGUUGUGACUAGGAUACGGUAGAGGUGAAUGGAAUUCCGAGUGUAGCGGUGAAAUGCGUAGAUAUUCGGAGGAACACCAAUUGCGAAGGCAGUUCACUGGACCGUGAUCGACGCUGAGGAGCGAAAGCUAGGGGAGCAAACAGGAUUAGAUACCCUGGUAGUCCUAGCUGUAAACGAUGGAUACUAGAUGUAGGAACUGGAUUGACGGUUUCUGUAUCGUAGCUAACGCGUUAAGUAUCCCGCCUGGGGAGUACGUUCUCAAGACUAAAACUCAAAGGAAUUGACGG
rnacentral:rRNA from 1 species